CCUACGGGAGGCAGCAGUGAGGAAUAUUGGUCAAUGGCCGUAAGGCUGAACCAGCCAAGUAGCGUGAGCGAAGACUGCCCUAUGGGUGGUAAACCUCUUUUAUGCGGGGAUAAAGGUGUCCACGUGUGGAUGUUUGCAGGUACCGCAUGAAUAAGGACAGGCUAAUUCCGUGCCAGCAGCCGCGGUAAUACGGUAGGUCCGGGCGUUAUCCGGAUUUAUUGGGUUUAAGGGGAGCGUAGGCCGGUCUUUAAGCGCGCCGUGAAAUUUUGUGGCUCAACCAUGAGAGUGCGGCGCGAACUGGAGACCUUGAGUGCGCGGAAGGCAGGCGGAAUUCGUGGUGUAGCGGUGAAAUGCUUAGAUAUCACGAAGAACCCCGAUUGCGAAGGCAGCCUGCCGCAGCGUUACUGACGCUGAAGCUCGAAAGCGCGGGGAUCGAACAGGAUUAGAUACCCCAGUAGUC
rnacentral:rRNA from 1 species